rnacentral:lncRNA from 1 species
GUUAUAUCGAUACGUUGCUUGCGCAGUGUCAAAGUUUGCAAGGUUGUCGGCAUGCACAUCGCGCGCUCCACACGCCACACACUCCAGCACCUCCCUAACUGCCAUACUUGUCACGCCAGGGCUGGUGACCGGACACGGCGUGGGGUAAGUGCCCGUGCCGGGGUCCAAGGGUGGAACGCGCGUCUCAUGUGCUAUUUGCCUUACGUCAGCUGACUUUAGUUGAAUUUGCGUUGUGGGUGCGAAGAGCAGGGGGGGGGUGGAAACGAAGUGCCAGACCCCAUGCCCCGAAAUCCCCCGGGACCCUGUGGCGCGACACAUGGCUCAUUGAACUUUGGGCUUGACAAAAUAGGUUGCGACUUAGCGAACAUGCGCAUAUGCGUGUGGGGGCGUGGAUGUUUUCCCCCUUGGCAGAGGUGGAGCGGCGGCAGGGUUCGCACUAACCCAGGUUGCGAGUAGGGAAGGUGCGGGUACGUAAUUGUCAGACCAGUAGGCAGUCGGACAGAGGCGGUCGGACUGGGAGGCAGAUUACGUAAGUAGCAACGUUGCACGAGUGGUCUGUUACGUAAUUGACAACGUUGCACAUGGAUUCUAGAUCCAUGUACGACCAAUGCGGGUCGCCCCUGAGUAUUUAAGCGGCCGACCGCUUGUUGUUUGGGCAUAGAACCGGGUGUUAGCCUGAAGAACCAUACCAGGCAACCUUUCCCAGGUCGAACGGUAGUGCCGAGUGGACAGAUCUUCCCACUUCGGGCACAAGUGUAAACCACAAUUGAUAUUACUGUCCAAACCUCUCACAACCGGCAACUCGCGGUUGUUAAGCGGGAAGGGAAAGUGCCUAAGUCUGCGGGACACGCAGCAGCAGCUUCCACCGCUGGUUUUCCUCAACGCUAAGCCGACCCUCCCUCUGGUCGCCCUGCCUAUCCCCAAGCUCGGCAACCCAACCAAGGACAUCGCGCUAGGGUGCUAACCCCCCCCCCCCCUGGCAGUCUCGAUACCUUAGUCUCCACAGCUAUCCAACCCGUUAAGAGGACUAGGAGAGCGGCCACGGCACAGCACCAGGGCACGUCCUCAUACGUCCCUCGUGUGCCCCCAGCGACAUCAGACGAUCCUAGGGCAGCCCCGUUACUCCCCAAGAUAGGCGGUCGGCUAGUCGCACGAUUAGUUCAACGCAAAAAUUUUUGGGGGUGCGGCGCGUAGUUGGUAUCGAGACCAGGUUAGCUGGUGCUCGACUGGCGGGUCGUGCCUGGUCUCCCCUUAGUCUCGCAGCGCUAUCAAGCUAAGUCAGCAUGGCGACACCAUCGCACGUGCAGCCCAGCAGCGUCAAUUCCAUACCGUACUAUGAGACGAAUGAUUGCGCUCGGCAAUGGCUGGCCCGGUUAGACCGCGCUAAGCGCAUGUACGGCUGGACGGACGACCAGACGCUGGAUGUGGCUGUCUGCCGGCUAGGGGACUCUGCCGCAACGUGGUAUUCCGGGGUUGAGAGCUCCAUCACCACCUGGGCGCAGUUCCAAAUCACUUUCCAAGAGCGCUUUGAGGCGAAUCAGGAGGAGUUAUACAAUCUGCUUGCACGCUGCCAACAGCGCCGGCGUGAACCCGUGCGAGAGUACGCGGAUCGGUUUCGUGACCUGGCGUCGCAGCUGUCGCUCAAUACCUCUGACCCCGUCCAUACCUUCUCCUUCCUUCGUGGGCUACAACCGGACAUCUACGAUCAGGUGUUCUUGCUGAGGCCCAAGACACUUGAAGAAGCAAUUCAUGACGCCAUCUACAUCGAGGAAGGCUCGCAAUGCUACUCUGCACCAAGCAGCAGCCGCAGUCACCGGUGGCGUGACCAGUCUCCCGGCCGCCGCCAUGGCCGCAACAGGGACCGGCGGUUCGCGGACUGCCACUACCACUCGUACAAUGAGUCCCAUUACUACGGCAGCCGUCCAUCACGACAUGGGCGCUACUCAUCGCCAUCAACACAACUCCAAGCAAACCGCGGGCGAGGUCACGACCAUCAUGACGUGCAACAAGUCGACUUGUACGACGCCGAUCAAGCGGAUGAAGCCGCUCUUGAGGGUCUUGCCGCUCACAUGGCACGGCUGAUGCGCCUGUUGGAGGAAGUGGCAGGGCAAGGACCUCACAUGUUGGACAUGGCGCGAGACAGCCGUUACUACGAGGAAGAUACGUGCUACGUGCCGUAUGAGGAGUACGAAACACAGCCUGACGCCGAGCGAGGGGGCAAGCAGGUGACCGUCCCUUCCCGCAACCGUAUGCGCCGUAUGCGCCGGACACCCCUGAGCUCACACCAUAUUCCACACCGGUAACUGCGCUUGCGCACCCACCUCGCGCCUCCUUCCCGACGCACGUUUACGUCAUGCAGCAGACCGUGCCCCCGCCGCCAGCAGUAGUACGGGAUGACACGCCCCAGCGUGCACAUCACUUGGAGCGGAUUCCCGCACAGCAGCCCGCACGACCUGCGGAGGAGAGCAAGGAUGGUGCAGGCGAGGACGUGAAGAGCGUGGACACGUACCCCAUGCCGUGGCACACAACAUUCGGAUGUGACGCCGCAUGCAAUCAGGACCCGCCCGGCGCAGCCCAUCGAGUGCGCACCUCCGGUAAACCCCAGCAGUUCCGUGCCUGGUGUCCAAUCGUCACCCCAGCACUUGCCAACCGUGGACAGGGAUACGCCCGUGCUCGAGUCGCCCGACACCCGCGAGGGGCUUACUCGGGACUCACCUGCUGUGGGGCAGAUGCCGCCAGCAGUGCCGCAUGUGCCUGAGCACGCACCCACACCACCGCUUCAACAGACAGCGCUCCUGUCAGCUCCGCCGGCGGCCUGGCUUGCUUGUACGCCACCGCGUGCUUGCCUUGAUGCCUUGACGGGGCCUGCCGAUAUGACAAGGUGUCAGGGGAAUCGCCAAUCAGAUGAGCUGCACGCGCCAUGCCCGAACACGAUGGCCGCAGCGCUCCCAACCGUUACUCCCCGGUCAUCCAUCUUUCAUGCCCAAGGCUGUUACGACACGCCACUGGCACCGCCAACCAAUGACACGGUGUUGGAGCUGCCACCCAAACCCAUGUUCCGUUCCCCUGACGAAGCACCAAAGUUGUCCGCGGGACUCGAGCUCCCCUUUCAUGGCCAGCUAUCGCUCGAUGCGAUUCGUCUCCUUCCGGCCCUGUCAAGCGCUCACCUGGCCGCGCAGGCGCCCAGUCAUGGGGCGUGUGGCUUGCAACACACCGCCAUGUGGGACGUAUUGCAAGACGGCAUGAGGAUGGGAGAGCAACGACAAGACGGCACGCCUAGUCAAGAGGACCCACGUCCUGUCACGCCCGCUGUGUGGCACCGGUACCCCCUGCCGCACAACAUGGACACUUCGCCUCACAAACCCUCAACGAAUUAUAAGGUCGCUGGCCUACUGUACGCCCUGCUGCAUCGGGUCCUUUACCGCACGGCCCUGGGCAAGAGCAACCUCCACUCGCGGAGCAGCAGUUUCGACUCACCUGCUUUCAUGGCUGAGCACUCCGCUGAUGCAACAUGCACGUAUGAGUAGUAUGAGGCGCCGGCGCCCACGCCACCACCAGAACCACCGCCGCAUGUGUGCACGGCAGCGUCAAACGCCGCCACACGGGCACCACAGCCCCGCCACCUGUGCAACGGAGACCGUCACACUUAAUAUUAGCAGGCCGAAACGAAAUCUGAGAGCGAGGGAACCUUGUUUGGUAAACUCCGACCGGCAGCCACCAACAUGGCGCUCACCUAUGGGAACCUGGUGCGCUGGUAUGACGAUACCGGUAAUCUGGAGCGGGCAAUCAGCGUGGAGCGACUGAGAGUUAUUGAAGGUAGCGCGGAGCAGUCAGUGUGUAGAAAUGCGGCUCCAACGGUAGCGAGACCCACCGGGGAUGUACGCUGCUGCGCCGAAGCUAUGGCCCUCACGCCGCGGCCUAUCUAAUGCUCCCACGUUUCGCGGCAGCAAGCAUGCUGCAGCUCACAGCGAGCGAGGAGACCCACCGGUGGUUGGACGUGGUUGGACUGGUAAAGGGAGAAGCGCUGCUUUCUCCAACUGCUUACUCCAUAAAAGACAACAGCGCAACCGCCUGCAACACUGCUAAGCGUAAGCACGAACCCGUACAACGGCAAAUCCCAAGUCUUCCCACAGUAUUGUCAGCAGGAGGUGUUCGCCAUUCGCCAUUCGCCAUUCGCCACCAACGGACAUUCGCCAUUCGCCAAUCAACAACGGACAUUCAUCAUUCGCUAACCAACGGACAAGGGCAAAACACACACCUAUAAUUGCGGCUGGCCGCCGGAUCCACAGCGAGCCUGCGAAGAGCCACGCACUCUCCAUGGCGUAGCACCUUGUAGUUCGAGUCCAACGCGCCAUUUCUGGGACGCCGCAGCACAGUUCAACUGCUUUUGGCCGACGCGGUCGUCGGAUCAAUCGUGGGGGAGGUCACAGCUGUGGCGCGACACAUGGCUCAUUGAACUUUGGGCUUGACAAAAUAGGUUGCGACUUAGCGAACAUGCGCAUAUGCGUGUGGGGGCGUGGAUGUUUUCCCCCUUGGCAGAGGUGGAGCGGCGGCAGGGUUCGCACUAACCCAGGUUGCGAGUAGGGAAGGUGCGGGUACGUAAUUGUCAGACCAGUAGGCAGUCGGACAGAGGCGGUCGGACUGGGAGGCAGAUUACGUAAGUAGCAACGUUGCACGAGUGGUCUGUUAUGUAAUUGACAACGUUGCACAUGGAUUCUAGAUCCAUGUACGACCAAUGCGGGUCGCCCCUGAGUAUUUAAGCGGCCGACCGCUUGUUGUUUGGGCAUAGAACCGGGUGUUAGCCUGAAGAACCAUACCAGGCAACCUUUCCCAGGUCGAACGGUAGUGCCGAGUGGACAGAUCUUCCCACUUCGGGCACAAGUGUAAACCACAAUUGAUAUUACUGUCCAAACCUCUCACAACCGGCAACUCGCGGUUGUUAAGCGGGAAGGGAAAGUGCCUAAGUCUGUGGGACACGCAGCAGCAGCUUCCACCGCUGGUUUUCCUCAACGCUAAGCCGACCCGCCCUCCCUCUGGUCGCCCUGCCUAUCCCCAAGCUCGGCAACCCAACCAAGGACAUCGCGCUAGGGUGCUAACCCCCCCCCCCCCUGGCAGUCUCGAUACCUUAGUCUCCACAGCUAUCCAACCCGUUAAGAGGACUAGGAGAGCGGCCACGGCACAGCACCAGGGCACGUCCUCAUACGUCCCUCGUGUGCCCCCAGCGACAUCAGACGAUCCUAGGGCAGCCCCGUU